CCAAGUAUUUAAAAGACAAAAACAAAGAUUACAAAGUGUUGAGAGACGAUUCGAAACCCUUUUGGACCCAAAAUUAAAUCAUGGCUUCUUCCAGCGACUCCAGCCAAGAUUCUUCCGGCGACUCCAGCCAAAAUGACAGCUUUACAAGUAGUAGUAAUUUGAUAAAUCAUCCAUUUUUGAAGAAACAAAAGUUGUGCGUGACCAAAACCCUAUAUCAAAUUAGUUAGUUACCGGACUCAGUGCUAGUUCAAAUACUCUCUCUUUUGCCUACGGCAAAGGAUGCAUUCAAAACCUGUAUUCUCUCUAAAAGGUGGCGCUACCUCUGGGCUUCAGUUGAUAACCUCAAUUUCACUCGUACAAGUUACCGGAAAACAAACGACUUCGUAUCCUUUGUUGACUAUGUGAUAGCUCAUUUUGUUUCUUCCAAAAUAAAAAGAUUAAAGCUCGACUGCAGUCGCCUGUAUCCAUACAAGUCGCAUAUGAGCCGAUGGCUUAGUUUUGCUGUUGAAAAAAAAGUGGAAGAUUUUGUAUACUGGUCAAGUUCUAAUAGGAACGGUUGCACAUUGCCUGAAUCUUUUUACACCUGUUCCUCGUUGGUAACAUUACAUUUGAAAUUUUAUUGCUUUGAUUCUGGAGCGGCCAUACAGUGGAAGUCUCUAAAGAGCAUAAAGUUGGAGUAUUUGGUGUUAUCCGAUGAGGAUAUCGUGAACUUAGUGUCAGGUUGUCCUGCUUUAGAAACUAUGGAAUUUGAUACAGUUGGGGGAUUUCUUCGUGUGGACAUUAAUUCUUUAAAGCUGAAGAGACUGUAUUUGAAAGGUUUUACGUUUCCUAGUGAUGGACGUGAUCCAACCUUGGAAAUUGUUGCCCCAUAUCUUCAGCAUUUGGAGAUUUCAGGAGUUCAUCUCAAAUGUAGGCUUGUAGAUGGGUCCUCCUUGGUUACUGCUAUUCUUACUUUCCACACUCAUUGUAUCAAAGACGUCCCGGGUGAUCAUGCUGAACAAUCUGAUGAUGAGGAAGACAGUUGUCGUGAUUCACAUCACGUCUUUGGGACUCUCAUCCAAGAUUAUCUUCCAAAAUUGAGUUGUGCAACCGAGCUAACAAUAGGAAAUUGGUUUAUAGAGGUCAUGUGCAUGUUGCAGUUCAAAGGAGUACAGAUUCCCGAACCGAAAUGCAAAUAUCUAACGCUAGAGGAGUUGCGUUUGGAAAAGUUUAAUUUGUUUGGAGUAGCUGGCCUUUUGCGAGCCUUGCGUCAUGUGGAGACACUCUACAUAGACUUUGCUACUGCUAAGGUACAGAUUUGAGUUGGUCAAAUAGCUUACUCUAGGGGUUGAUAAAAUCCCAUGCAAAAGAAUUACUGGCAUGCCGGCGGAAAUCUUCAAAGCCAAUGACUAUUAUGGGGUCAUGGCUGAAUAAUGCUGGUUGAAUGUGGUCAGGAAAUUCCCAAGGGGAAAGCCACAAAUCCGAUCUAGUUUGAUAAUUCCCCCUGCCACUUUGAGUUAAGACAUUUGGCCAAAGGAGAUGAUGGAAUUCAAGCUUUGAGUUUCCCAACCUCAAGAAUUUAAAGAUUGUCAUCUCCUCCGUAUAGUAGAGCGUCAUUUCAAAUGGAGCUUUGACAAGCCAUUCAAACUUUCAGAAUAUCUGUUAGACAACGCAACAGUUUUGGAGAAGUUCGUCAUCAUGUCAAAGAGAAGAAAGUGAGCUUUCCAUGAUUACUUGUGUUUUAGGUAACGGUAAUUUAUCCCUUAUAUUAUAUUUUGGAUUUGCUACUAACAAACAUCUUGUACUUGUCAAUGUACCAAACAUCUUAAUAAAUCCCACUCGAAAGAGCUACUGGUCGAACGGGAUGUAUUGUAGGACAAUGUUCAUACAAAAUGAUGCCAAUAUAUUUAACUUUGGAUAAGUGUCGAACAAUA